CGAGCAUAAUCACAAUGACAUACUUAAUAAAUAACAGUAAUAAUAGUAAUAACAAACAAGCCAACAACAACUACAAUAACAAUAACAAACCAGCUAUGCAAUACUCUAAAAGUGAUUUUGACGUCUUCAACUCCUCGUUUGCCAGCUCAAGCGACUUUUUUAUUUAUCCCAACAACAACAACAGCAAUAACAACAUUAAUAAAAGUCAACAAGAUGGACCAUACCAAUUCCAAACACAAGUGCAAAUUCAUAGUCAAAGUGUAGAUAAUAUACGUAAUAUGCAAAUUGCCAGCGGCAGUGACAGCGACGAUGCUGCCCACGUCAGCUACAACAAUGCAAACAACAUUUGGUAAUGCUGAUGGUUUUGGCAACAGCUUUGAUAACAAUAGCGGCGCUGGUGGCGAUGGCAGUGGCUCUAUGUUCAAUGCGAAUUCUUCGAUGAACCACAACAACAACUUUGUGCAUAAUCUCGAUAAUAAUGCAAUAUUUUCGACGUCAACCUUAUCAUCAUCGUCGUUGGGCAACUGUAAGCUGGAAGUCAAUGUCCAGUUAACACGCUCUGAUUGCUCGGGAAAAAAAUUAAAAUAGUACCGUAUUAAUGCAAAGCUGCUGUACUUGUUAACGUUGGCUAUAAAGCGUGCAAUACAUAUUUGAACAACAACAAUAUGCCUUGGAUGAACCCGGAAGCAGCAUCGUCAUCCAUUCCAUCCAUUCUUAUCGUAAAGUGGUUUCUUAAAUGCGGAAAUUUACAUAAGGCGGGCUAUAAAACAGCUUUCGCGAGUUAGAGGAAUAAAGAGUUAUUUUUUUUAUAUAGAUAUACGCAUAAAAGAAAGAAAAACUAACCCAAAAAAAUCAACAAUAAUGAUAGUAAGGAAUACUUUAAUAUACGUAUUAUAAUUGUAAUAAAAGUUUGAAAAGCGGUUAGGACAAUUGUAAUUGAGCAAGCUAAACAAAGAGAGCGCGCAACAAACUGUUGUGAGCGCAUGUGCGCGUGUGUGGGUGUGUUUGUAGCGCCAAGAAAUUGAGAUUUGUUAAUACUUAAUAGGCAAUGUAAAGAGCCACAUUGCGCUCUACAAACGUUGCAUGAGCAGCAGAUCAAUUGAAAACAGAGGAAUUUACUAAAAUCACACACACUCACCCACAGACACCUAAAAUUAUGUACCUGUAUAUUAUAUUUACAAAAUACUAAAACAAAAGAAAGCGUCGGUCAGAAAAAAAAUUAGAAACAGCGCUCAACCAGGUUUGAAUAUUUGGAGUGCAAUUAUAUAUAUUAUAUUCAGUUGCUCGACCAAACCGAGUUCGCUUACUUCCACUACAAUGCUCCCCAUUAAAAAAAUUAUAAGAUAUAACACUGCUGUUGCAUAAGUAUUUGCUCCACACAUACGACAUUAAAUUGUAAUUUGAAAAUAGGCCGGUGUAAAUGGUAAACUAUGCAACACUCAAGCUUAGCAGCAAUAUAAAAACAACAAAAACGAUAAGAAAAUCAAGAAAAUAUAUACAAAACCAAAACAAUUUUAUAAAAACCAAA